GCAUAAUAAAUAGUUUUUUAAUUGGAAGCUGGAAUGAAGGGUUAAAACUAAAUAGAAUGUUUUAUUUGAUUAAUUUGAAUUUAAAUUAAAAGUAAGAAUGCUUUUAUUAUUUUUUGGGACGAGAAGACCCUAGAAGCUUAAAUUUAUAAAAAUUUUGGUUGGGGUAACAUUUGAAGAUAUAAAUUUUUAUAUUAAAUAAAUUUAUAGGGAGUUGAAGUUACUUUAGGGAUAACAGCAUUAUUUAAUUAGCGAGUUCUUAUUAAUAAUUAAGUUUGUGACCUCGAUGUUGAAUUAAUU
rnacentral:rRNA from 1 species